AUUGAACGCUGGCGGCAGGCCUAACACAUGCAAGUCGAACGAGUGGCGGACGGGUGAGUAAUGUCUGGGAAACUGCAUGAUGGAGGGGGAUAACUACUGGAAACGGUAGCUAAUACCGCAUACCAUCAGAUGUGCCCAGAGGGGAUUAGCUGGUUGGUGGGGUAAAGGCUCACCAAGGCGACGAUCCCUAGCUGGUCUGAGAGGAUGACCAGCCACGCUGGAACUUAGUCACUGUCCAGACUCCUACUGUAGGAAGCAUUGGGGAAUAUUGCACAAUGGGCGCAAGCCUGAGGCCGCCAUGCCGCGUGUAUGAAGAAGGCCUUCGGGUUGUAAAGGACUUUCAGCGGGGAGGCGUUACCCGCAGAAGAAGCACCGGCUAACUCCGUGCCAGCAGCCGCGGUAAUAC
rnacentral:rRNA from 1 species